UACGGAGGGUGCGAGCGUUAAUCGGAAUUACUGGGCGUAAAGCGUGCGCAGGCGGUUUGUUAAGCGAGAUGUGAAAGCCCCGGGCUCAACCUGGGAACCGCAUUGCGAACUGGCAAACUAGAGUCUUGUAGAGGGGGGUAGAAUUCCAGGUGUAGCGGUGAAAUGCGUAGAGAUCUGGAGGAAUACCGGUGGCGAAGGCGGCCCCCUGGACAAAGACUGACGCUCAGGCACGAAAGCGUGGGGAGCAAACAGG
rnacentral:rRNA from 1 species